rnacentral:rRNA from 1 species
GAUGAACGCUAGCUACAGGCUUAACACAUGCAAGUCGAGGGGCAGCAUGAAAGUAGCUUGCUACUUUUGAUGGCGACCGGCGCACGGGUGCGUAACGCGCAUCCAACUUUCCCGUUACUCUCGGAUAGCCUUCCGAAAGGGAGAUUAAUACGAGAUGGUGUUCAAAUUCCGCAUGUUAUUGAACUAAAGAUUCAUCGGUAACGGAUAGGGAUGCGUGACAUUAGAUAUUGGGGGGUAACGGGCCCGACCAAGUCUACGAUGUCUAGGGUUCUGAGAGGAAGGUCCCCACACUGGAACUGAGACACGGUCCAGACGUCCUACGGAGGCAGCAGU